rnacentral:rRNA from 1 species
UACGUAGGGCGCAAGCGUUAUCCGGAAUUAUUGGGCGUAAAGAGCUCGUAGGCGGUUUGUCGCGUCUGCCGUGAAAGUCCGGGGCUCAACUCCGGAUCUGCGGUGGGUACGGGCAGACUAGAGUGAUGUAGGGGAGACUGGAAUUCCUGGUGUAGCGGUGAAAUGCGCAGAUAUCAGGAGGAACACCGGUGGUGUAGACGGCUCACUGGACCGUAACUGACGCUGAGACGCGAAAGCGUGGGGAGCAAACAGG